GGAGUUUUAGGGUCAGAAGCUAUAUCACCGUCAAAAUCAGGAGGCUUCGAUUCCGUUUUUAUGGUAAGGCCUGUAUUGCCAACUGCAAUUUUUUGACCAGUAGGAUAACUUUUUCCAUUUCCAUCAAACUUCACAGAUUUAUCUUCUUUCCGAUUUCUCAUUUCCUCAUCAAAUUUGCAUUCCUCGCACAUCCAAUCACCCUCUGGAACUUUUUGUAACAUUUCUCGCAUGCAAUAAGUAUGUUCUGCACCAUCUGUACAUUUACAACAUAUGGCAAGUAAAUCCUCCCGACCAGCAUCUCCACAUAUAUCACAAACUUUCACAUCUAGCUCCUCAACGUCGGAUUCCUCACUCUCAUCCAUUUGAUGUGAUUGUAAGGCAUUCUUUGUAUCAGAGGACACAGGUGAUCCAACAUUCUUUUGGUCAUUCUUCUCAGGACAAGUAUCAGCAGGUAGAUCAUCAGAAGCUUCAGAUUUCACGUCAUUCUUUAAUGAUGAAUGGUUAUUUUCCAAACAGUCUCCCGUACUAUGUACAUUUCUUGAAGAGGUCGCCUCAGUAGGAGCCUUAUUAUUUUCUUCCCCACUGCUUUCAUUCUGCCUACUAUGGUCAAUUGGACUACCAUCAUCAGCCUCAACUUUCACGUGUACACAUCCAGCAGAAGUUUGAUUAUUUAUAGUUUUCCCAGUAGAAGUAGAAGAACACUGAAGACUUGAUUUGUCUUCCCUCAUCUUACUGAAGCUGGAUAAUUUAUUAGCUUCAUAGCCUCCAACGAUACACGACAUGUUGUCAUCAAGGCCUUCAAAAGAUUUGAGAUCCUUUAACUCCACAAGCACUGCACCAUCUGUUUCCCCAGAUAAUUCAUCAACUUUUGACUCCAUGAGACUUUGACUAGCAGGAAAACAAGAAGAGCAAGGAGUGGAGCACACGUUACACGAUCCAGCGACUAGUCUUCCACCGACAGUCUGAUUCUGAGUACACGGGAUAGAUUCCUUAUUGACUUCAGUUGACACCUGAACACAAUAAAACAUUUGGAAAAAGAAAGUGUUUCGAUUAAGGAGAGGAAACAAUAAUAGGGAAACCUACAGGAUAUAAAGAAUGUAGACAGUAUUGUUAUACUUUAUUGAUUGUUUGCAAGUUUAGGACUUCCACAGCAGGACUCCUCCUUUUUGUUAUGUACAGACGGAUUUCUGUCACGCC
rnacentral:misc_RNA from 1 species